GACGUAGGGUGCAAGCGUUGUCCGGAUUUACUGGGCGUAAAGAGCGCGUAGGCGGUCUGUUAAGUGUAGAGUGAAAUCUCUGGGCUCACCCCGGAAACUGGCUCUGCAUACUGGCAGACUUGAGGGAAGCAGAGGUUUGUGGAAUUCCUGGUGUAGCGGUGAAAUGCGUUGAUAUCAGGAGGAACACCCAUGGCGAAGGCAGCAAACUGGGCUUCAUCUGACGCUGAUGCGCGAAAGCGUGGGUAGCAAACAGG
rnacentral:rRNA from 1 species